rnacentral:rRNA from 1 species
GCCGCUCAGAACUAAGGAAUUGACGGGGCCGCACAAGCGGAGGAGCAUGUGGUUAAUUCGAUGAUACGCGAGGAACCUUACCUGGGCUCGAACGUAAGAUGACUGUAGGUGAAAGCUUACAUCUCUUCGGAGCAUUUUACGAGGUGCUGCAUGGUUGUCGUCAGCUCGUGCCGUGAGGUGUCGGGUUAAGUCCCAUAACGAGCGCAACCCCUACCUUUAGUUGCCAUCAGGUUAAGCUGGGGACUCUAAAGGAACUGCCUACGCAAGUAGUGAGGAAGGCGGGGAUGACGUCAAAUCAGCACGGCCCUUACGUCCAGGGCUACACACGUGCUACAAUGGCCGAUACAGAGGGCAGCUACCUGGUGACAGGAUGCAAAUCUCCAAAGUCGGUCUCAGUUCGGAUCGGAGUCUGCAACCCGACUCCGUGAAGUUGGACUCGCUAGUAAUCGCGCAUCAGCCAUGGCGCGGUGAAUACGUUCCCGGGCCUU